UUGUAGGAAAAAUUAUUAUAAACAAACUUUUGUUUUGUAUGUGACGAGAAAAAAAAUUGUGAAAAUGUUUGGAUGUACUGCGGAAUAACUACGUAUUUCGCAAGAAAUUGGCAACAGGCUGCAAUGGAAUUGCUUCGAUGUAUCCAUAGCUAAAUAAUAGACAUUCAGCUAUGGCCAAUUGGUGGCACUGAAAUUCUGGCUGCACGACACGUCAUAUGAUUUGCAUGAGACGUGUUAUAAGACAUUCAUAAGACAUGAAGAAGAAGAAAUAUAAACCUGUCGUAAGAUAAUCAUAAUACGCGCUAUACAACAGCGUCUUAUGUUGUCAUACAUAGAAUUUUUUUUCGGACGGAAGCAAUGUAAAUAAUGUUAUAAUUAAAACUUUUAUACCUUGUCAGGUAUUUGUCUGAUUUUGUCUUAAGACAAAUAUUAUACUCUGUCAUACGACAUAGUGCGGAGAACUUCUGUCAAGUGCUCGCGCGCGCUCGUUUCAAUCAGUCAAGUCAGUCAGUAUAAAGUUGUCCAUGGUCGGGGGUGGAGGUGUUGGCGAACGCAAUGUGAAAGAAUUGAGAGUGGAAAAUUGGUAGCAUCUAUGUUUAAAUAUUAAAUUGUAAUAAGAAAGCGUACAUAUGUAAGGAAAAUUGUUGAGCAAAACUAUUACCGUGAAGCAUUAAAAGUAAACAAGUGAAUGUAUGAAAUUGCUAACCAGCAAUUUGUGGGAGCGUAGGACUGUGUGGCCCCAACAUACCCUGGAAAAUUUUGGGUGCAGUCCCGUGAGGCGAAGAUAGGCCAAGGAGGACUUUUUUCGCAAUAUAUUAAUCGUUCUUAUUGGGCACAUUGUGAAUGCGAUUGGUCGAGGUGGUGAACAAAACAUCAUGUCUGAUCUUAAGCGUAUUAUAAUUAAAUUUGGAUCGUGGGACGUGUUAAAACAUCACGUAUAAAAUUGUCUACUCCAUUGUCGAUAGAGCACCUCACAGGAUGCUACUGCUAAGCGCUCUAACACUUGGACUGGUAGAGUCCACGGGUCAGAAUGUAGCCAGUGGAAUUGGGCGGGAGAAUGUUUUGGCAGAUUCGAGUGGAAGUUCUGAAGAGAACAUGAAUAUGGAGAACUAUACAUUUCGGCUCGAUCCAUCACCCGUCGAGUGGACCAUUGGAAUGGAUUUCACAACAGCAUGCCCAACAUUGCGUACGCCACAUCAUCUGUACUAUCAGCUCGGCAACGCAAUAAUGGCAGUAGCUUUCCUUGCGCCGGGAAACCCUUAUGGUCAACUUUGGCUACGAAGUGUCCUUGUGAUUGGAUGUGUUCUCAUGGCAAUGUGGGGAUGGCUCGUAGAGUGUACAGUGGAUGCCUUUGUAUGGGCCAUAGUGUUCCUUGUGAUUAAUUUUAUACAUGUGAUUGUGCUCUUGUUUCGUCUGCGUCCCGUCAAAUUUGAAAAGGAAAUUGAAUCGGUAUAUGCAGCACUUUUUCAACCUCUUAGAGUGUCCCGUCAUCAAUUCAAAAAAGUUCUGAACUGUAUGAAACUGGUACGAUCACUCAAAUACCAAGAAGUCUAUGCACAAGAAAAAGUCACCAAAGUAGACAGUCUAUCCCUAGUGCUGUCAGGAAAACUAGUCGUAUCGCAAAAUCAAAGAGCACUACACAUAGUGUUUCCACAUCAGUUUCUAGACUCUCCAGAGUGGUUUGGGGUCUCUACGGAUGAUUUUUUUCAAGUUUCAAUAAUGGCUAUGGAGGAGUCUCGGGUUCUAAUCUGGCAUCGAGAUAAGCUGAAAUUGUCAAUAAUGGCCGAACCAUUUCUCCAAGCAGUCUUUGAUCACAUACUCGGCCGGGAUGUUGUGAAGAAGCUCAUGCAGGUGACCCAGGUGAGCGAAACUAUGGCAGCGAGCAAUGGAUUCAUAUCUUCUGGAUAUGAUGAUGUUGAGGAUAAGCCCAUGUUACUUAUGAAGAAGACAAGUGAUGGGCACGGUAUAACGGCAUUAAUCAAUCGUCAACUUCAAGAGGAGCAUGUACCUUUGCUCGGAAGUUCCUAUCGAGCGUUCCUGCCAUCAAUGGUUGCAUCUGCUGAUCUUAAAACGUCUACUUGCUGAGCAUCUUUGUUCUCUUUCUAUGUAGAUAUUUUAAUUUAUGUUUUGCUCUUUUAUGUUUAGUUUAUGUACAGCUUCUUUUUUUUUAAAACUUAAAAUCCAUUUCUCAAAGGCUAUAGCUUGGUAAAAUCAGUAAUAUGUAUACCCAUUCCAUUUAAUACUCUACCUACAACUACCUAAAAAAAUAUUCUUACAUUUUUUUUGUAUUUAGUAAAUUGUUUUAGGCGAUUGUAAUCCAUAUGUUUAUGUUUAAAAUUCGCUGUCAACAUUUUAACACGGCAUCUAUUUAUAUUCUUCUUAAACACAAAAAAAACAACUAAAUCAAUUUGAUAAAUAAAUAAAGUUUAGAAAUCAAUAUUUUCAAUCCUGAUAUAUUUUCUAUGAAAAUCCAGUCAAUAUAAUAUGCAAUUUACUUUGAAAAAUAUUCUCACAUAAACAAAAUUAGAUUUGAAGAGGUACUAGAUGCCGACGGAAAUGGGUGAAAUGUAUCUUGAUUCCACCAUAUACGUUUGUCCAAACUCCAAAGUGUGAAAUAUCUUUCACUGCGACGGCAUGAGCUUACAAUUAUCUUUUUUUCCUUAGUUAUAACUCUAUUGCCUCUUAUCGAAAAAUUAAGCUUUUACAAUCAUUCUUAUAAAAUAAACCAUAAAAAUUUAAAUAAUGCUAAACACUGAAUAUUAAUGAAAUCACCUGUGACUUUGAUAAUAAAAUGCAUUGUAUGAAAAUACGUUAAGUAAUUUGUGCCAUGUUGUUGCUUUUUGAAAUUUGUAAUAGGAAAAUUUUCUUUUGCCUAGCUCUGCCUAGGAUAUCUAAGUAUUAUUAUUGCGUUGGCGAUCCAAAUGCUUGGCGCUUGGGCAGGAUCGAGGAGACUGACCAUGAAACGGCUGUUUAGGAGACAUAAAUAAGAAUUUGUUGAGAUUUUGCAGCUGCGAUGAGAGAUUAGGACAAUAUUUUUAUUCUCAAAACUUGCGCAGAAAAAAUUGGUUAAGCUAAUUUUUUUUUACACAUAAUCGUAUCAAGUUUGAAGUGUGUGAUGAAUAAUAAGUGGUUUAAGUAAGGAAGGAGAAAAGUUCACAGAAAAAAAUAUAUGUGCUAAAAUUGAGAAAAAAAAGUUAAAUUUGAUGCUUUUUGAAAUUAAAUUUGUAAUGCUAUAAUUAUAACAUUGUCUAGAAUUACUAUUUCUAACGUACGAUGAUCUCAGUCCGAUAUGUAUCAUACUUAUUUUGAAUCAAACGUUUUGAGCACCAUCAUCAUAAAACACAAAUUUAUAUACAGGAGUACGUUAUCUUCCCUGUUAGGUAAAAGAUCAUUGAUUUGUUGCCUUAUGCUAAACCAGUAAAAUGGCUCAUAGAACACCAAAGCAACAUUGAAUAUCAGAGAUUUUUUUUACUAUAUAAUAAGAAAUAUUCUUUCCAAUUCAAAGCGAUUUGAGUUUUGUAAUAGAUUUUAUGUGAUUGGUUUAAAGAAUGAAGAAGUGUUUUGAACAGUGAACUUUGAACCAUUGUAAAAUGUAAAUUGUAGGUAUUUCCAGAGAAAAAAAUCAGAAAAUUAAAGAAACGCAAACUUAAUCGUUACGCCCAUUUUA